GAGCUACUUCCAUUUAAACCAAAGCUAGCAUAAUUGAGGCCUGAAAGCGGCACCUUCCUUUCCUGCUGGCAAAAACAUUCUGCAUUAUAACGACCUCUGAUUCACUUCUCCGGCUUCCCACGCCAGCUGUCCUGCCAGCCACUCCAAUGCACGGCGCAGCUGCUUGUGAGACCAGAUGGAUUAGAGCAGUGAUAUGAAAAAGGAACAUGGUCAACAUGAACAUCUGGAUCUGCAUCCAGAAAAAAAGGAGAGGAGAGAGGUCACGGGUGAUCAGGUCAAGAUCCCAAGGGAUGCAUCGUCCUCAGCUGAGACCACAGUGACUUUAAGUGGGAAAAGGCACUUGUCCCUCCCAGAAUGAGCCAAAUCAAGGAAAUCAAGACAGCAGAAAAGCAGUAAUUAUGUGUGGGAUUGGUUUCCAAUGAGUUCAGCUCUCUGAACCAACUCACUGCAGAAAGCCUGGGCUGAACUGGAAAGGGAGCAGGAACAGAUUGCCCAGAGCAAGGUGAGAGGGGGACAAACACUUAGCAUCCGUUAGCCAUCACCCAUGCUUCGUGCAACAGAGGACAAAAAUAAAACUAAUAGCUGUGAUAGCAAAGACCUGCAAGUAGGUCUUUGUGAUGAAAGAGCAGUGGAUUUGUGCCUCACACAGGGCCCAUGCCCAAACAGCUGUAACUCCCUACCUGUCCUGAGGGGAAUUGCC